GGGCAAUUGGUCUAGGGGUAUGAUUUUCGCUUCGCAUUACCUACAGUCUGCGUCUGUGAAAGGUCAUGGGUUCAAUUCCCAUAUUGUCCA